UUAGCUAUUUCCCUCUACCCCUAUCCAUCAGGAGAUAUCUAUUUAUAAUACAAUUUAGAUAUCAUGAGUCCUUAAUAACUCCUUAUUUUUAUUAAUUUUCAUUACUUGACAAGAGUUUUAUCUGAGGUCUAUAUUUAUAUCUUUCUCAAAUUGGGUUCCCGAAACUUCUAGACUUUCUUCUGAGUUUAAAUUAUGCAUCCUAGAUCCUUCUUUAGCUCCAUGACAUCUUGCUUAUGUCAUGCAGUUUAAUUUCUUGUUCAAAUUUUUUUUGGCUCCAUGUCAUCUUGCCUAUGUCAUGGAGCUCACUUUAUUGCUCAAGUUUCUUUGGCUCUAUGACAUCUUGCUUGUGUUAUGCAGCUCAAUUUCUUGCUCAAGUUUAUUUGGCUCCAUGACAUCUUACUUAUGUCAUGCUUCUUGCGUACAUGCUUUCUUGUUUUCUCUUGCAUGCUUUCUUUUUUUCUCCUGACAACAGUUGGCCCCUAGCUCUUUGAAGCUUGACUUUCAAAGUUGAAAAAGAACUAACUCUAGUAUUUCCUCACUUAUAUAUAUAUAUAUAUCAGCCACCAUUGAAGGUUUUUCUCCCAUGUAAAUGUCAUCUCUCUCUAUCUCUUUUUUUUUUUUUUUUUUUAAGUUUAAGUCACUUGAGUCCUUUUUGAGUAUUUGUUAUUUCUUUAUUCUUCACUUGACAUCUCACCCAUGUGAUUACCCACUUCAUCAAUGCUCCAGCCAGGGUCAAUAGAAGUGGAAGAAGGAAAAAAAGGAAGCAGGAGCAAAAUUCAUGACAGGGGCUGGUUUGUUGUUUCCAAUGGGCUGGUAAUCAUUGUUUUCAAUAGGAUAUUCACAAAGGCUAGGGUUAGAGUAAUCCUUAGAGUCUGAAGACAUUGCUUGUGUUUUAAUUAAAGAUGUCAAGCGAAGAAUAUGUAAAUAACAAAUACUCACCAAGGACUCAAGUAAUUUAAACUUGAAAAAAAAAAAAAAAAAAAGAUGAUCUUUACAUGGGAGAAAAAACUUCAAUGGUAGCUAAUAUAUAUAAGUGAAGGAAUGAUUAAAGUUAACUCUGAAAGUCAAGCAUAAAAGAGAUAAGGGCAGUUGUUGUCAGGAGAAAACAAUCAUGCACGCAAGAAGCAUGCUGGAGAAAACACGAAAACAUGCAUGCAAGAAGCAUGACAUAAGCAAGAUGUUAUGGAGUCAAAGAAAUUUGAGAAAGAGAACUACAUCACAUAAGCAACCUAUCGUGGAGCCAACAUAACUUGAGCAAGAAAUUGAGUGGCAUGACAUAAGCAAGAUGUCAUGGAAUCAAAAACAUUUGAGCAAGAACUUGACCCGCAUGACAUAAGUGAGAUAUCAUGAAGCCAAAAGAAAUUUGAGCAAAAAAUUGAGCUGCAUGGCAUAAGCAAGAUGUCAUAAAGCCAAAGUAAUUUGAAAAAGAAAAGAACUGCAUGACAAAGCAAGAUGUCAUGAAGCCAAAUAAAAUGCGUUUAUAGAAGAAUAAUCUAGGACGCGUAAUCUAAAACCAAAAGAAAAAUCUAGGAGCUUCAGAAACCUAACUUGAGAAGGAAAUAAAUAUAGACAUCGGAAAAAACUCUAAUCAAGUAGUGGAAACCGAUAAAAACAAAGAGUUAUCAAGAACUCAGGAUACCUAAAUUGCAUUAUAAAUAGAGACCUCUUGAUGCAUAGGCGGUUGAGGCAAAUAGCAAAGCAAGCCGAAAAAAAAAAAACCUUCGUUGUAAUUCUCAUUGAAUAGUAAAGUUGCUCUUUCUAUUCCCGUGAACAUAAGCCAAGCGCUAAACCACGUAAAUUCUCUAGUUUAUUUAAUUUUAUAGUUGACCAAAAAUCAGCAUCAAUUUGAGGAAGGAAUACUCAAGAACAUAGUUCUAGACUCAAAGUUGUAAUUACUGGUCUAAACCAAAUCAGAUACCACUGUUUAACCCAAAUAUAUAAGACAUGAAAAGUUCUCUUUUACGCACCUGAGAAUCAAGAAAUGUACAAGCAGCUUCCAAAGCAACUUCAAGAGCCCUAAACUCAAAGGGCAGAUAAUCAGGGGAUGUGUUCCCAAAUACAUUGUCAAAAUUCCUACUUCGUCUCCGGUUGGUGUCACCCUCUGAUUGCCAAACUUCAUUUACUCCAGCUGCGGUCAAACGCCGUUGUAGCUCCACCACAUACUGUAGCACAUAGCUAUCAAGGGAAUUCAAGAGUAGAACCUCAUCAGCGGUGAUAAUACACCGAAUCUGCUCUAAAUUUACAACGAUAGCCUUCUCUCUACCGAGAAUUGUCGAGGGGUAUACAAACAAAGGAUCCAAAAGACGCAGAUCACGGGCAGGUAAAUCACAACGACGCAUCAUACUGAACUUGUCAACCUCAAUGAUCUGGGAAUUCCCAGACACAUCAACACGAAUCCAAGAUCGAAGGCCUUGCCCCCGCUUCUUCAGCCCCAAAACAUCCACACCUUGGAAAGGUUGGCGUCCAGAAGCAGAUGGCCGAAAAGAAGAAUCUCUUAGGUUUAUAGCAGAUGCUGGUUUGGGCGGAAGCAGGCGUUCUUUUAGCUCCGCCAUUGAUUACAAGCUCUAAACAGAUAAAACAGAAUAAAGAAUAAACAAAGUCACUUGCUUGCUCUUGCUACUUUUCCAAAUUAAUAUACCUAAGAAAUUUCAUAGAAAUCAUAUUCCUCUACAAUAAUUACCCACUACACUUGCACAUUCGGUGGAAUGGUUCAAUUCUUGUACUGAUAAAUGUUUAGUUAACAAUUUGAAACAAUUGGUUCUAUGCAAUAGUACCCAAUCAAAAAAGCUCGAUUCAAGGCAUUUAACAACAUACAGAGUACACUCUACACAGAGAGUUAGAAAAUAAUAAUGAAAUUUAUGAAAUACCUCCACUGCAGAAACCGUUGAUAGGUCUGUAAGAUUAUCCAAGACGCCCUUUAAAAAAAAUUAAAAAAAAAAAAAAAAUUCUAUUGAUGCAUCAAAAAUUGAGCAAACCCAAUUAAAGAAAAUAACAAACAACAGAUGCAAAGUGAAAGGUAAAAGAAACCCUAGAUUUAGAGUUAGAAAAAAACCUGAUAUAUUAUAAAACAGAGAAACCCAGUUCUUCAGAGGAUUCACAGAAUCUUGCCUUUAACCAACAAACGACGAUUAAAAUACGACAAGAUAGUAACAACAAUAAUAAUAAUAAUAAUAAUACUUGAGAGUAAGAAGAUAAAGUACAAUUGAAGUGUCUGAGCUUGUGUCUGGGUUUUGUGGUAUGCGUAAUCGAUUCAAAGUUCAAAAUACAAUAAAUACGGGUCAGUUGAGACCCGAAUUUAACUCCACUGCUCUUUUUUUUUUUUUUCUAUUUUUUCAUUUUCUAGAGAUCUUGUCAAUUAUUUCCCUUAAUUAUAAAAAGUAUUUUUUUAUUGGAUUAAUGAUGUUAGAACAGAAAAAAAAAAAAAAAAAAUGGACAUUUUGUUUAUUUUCGGUGAGGGACAAAACUAAUUAACCAUGAUUGGAUUGGAGCAUAGUGAAGUCUCAUGUGAAGUUUGUUGUAGGGUCAUGUGGAUUUGUAUGAAUUCGGCGAGUUCACAAUACAUUUAAGAAUAGGUUUAAGAAAUAUAUUUUUAAAUACAAGUAUAAACAUAAUAUUUUAAUUACUAUAUUAAAUUAAAAUAAAUAAUUAAAAUUAGAUGACAUGAAUUAUUAAUUUUAUUAAUGUUUUUCACUCUUUAUUUUUUAAUGUUUAAUUCUCUUUUUUCUCUCUUAUAAAUUCGCAAAUGGAAUAAUUAAAACCACUAAAAUUAGUUUGCUUACAGAGUCUGUAAAUGGAAAGAGAAGUAUUAAAGUAACGUGGUUGAUGCACGUGAGUUGCCGUUAGAUAAUAAUGAGUUUCGUUCACUUCUAAUUUUUGGGGACAUGAACAAGUUUUGGAAAAUAAAAAUUAUGGGUUUUAGGUGCAUAUACAUUUCUCUUACAUAGCCAUGAUAAUUUCAGCUUUUUAUUUGAACAAAUAACAACUCAUAAAUUCAUAAAUAGAGCUUCAGCUCCACCGUAAAUGUAUAACAAUAAAGUACGUAAUUUUAGCUUUCUACCUGAACAAAUACUGGCAGCACAUGAUUUGAUGGUUUUAUUUAUUCCAUUUUGAUGGUUUUAAAGUAUUUUAUUUAUAAAUUUAGAAAAGAGAAAAAUUUUAAUAAAAGGAGAAAGAGAAUUCAAUAUUAAAGAGAGGAAAGAGAAAAAUAUUAAUAAAAUUAAUAACUCAUAUCAUUUAAAGUUAACCUUCAUCUCAAUUUAAUCUAAUAGUUGAAAAAUUAUAUUUAAACCUGUGUUUAAAAGUGUUUCUUUUAGACUUACCAUUUAUAUAUAUAGAGAGAGACACACACUAUAUAUAUAGAGAGAGAGACACACUCACACACACACAUACUCAGGUGUGAAUACCUAUAUGUAGAUUUUACAUGAAUUCUUAUUAUAUAUCAUGUGACAUAAUAGUUAAUUGAACAGAAACGUUAUAAUGUCAUAUGUUGUAAUAGCAAAUUCAUACAAAAUCUAUAUUUGCCAUCCGCAUUUGAAUCAGUUUAUAUAUAUAGCCACUGACUAAGUUAUAUAUAAUGUAAUUUAUAGUUGAUCUAAAAAUAGUUUUUCAUGUGAAAAAAUUGGUCAUUACAUCUAAUGUAAUUAAUGUUAGUGUCUAUUUAUUUAUAUCUACAUUUUAUUUUCAAGACUAAGGAAUUUUUUUUUUUUUAGUACAUAUCAAGCUUAUUGAGCACUACACUCUAUUUAUAUUGAAAGAAUGAUGCUACACUAACAUUUUUAAUUUUUCAUCCCUAACUUUUGAAGUAGCAUCAAUUUAUUAUAUAGUCAAUUUAAUAACUUUUAAAAUUACUAUCAGUUCAUACCAUAAUCUAAUAUCACAACAUUUGAGAUAAAUAAAGUUGGAAAAUUAAUUAAGAACAUAAAUAUAAUUUUGUAAUUGAAUCGUGUAGAAGGUGGCGAAUGAGUGGUAUACGGAGGCUUAAUGGACUCGGGGUAGGCUCUUGCAUUUUAAGAACAAUUGCCGAAGGAGCUGAAACAAAUAAUGACUUAAUUUUAAAAGAUGACUCAAAAAUAUCCUUGGUUAUAGUUUCAUAAUAUAAACAAUUAAAUUUAAUGAUAUUUUAGUCAUUUUAAUUGAGUUAUUGAAAAAAAUUAAAAAACAAAUUCCAAAAUUUGGCACUACACAAUGCAACAAACUAACACAUAGUAUGUAUCAAUUAGUUGUGCACUCGUUCUAGCUGCUAUAGUCGACCUCCCAAGAUUUAUUAACGACAUUAAAUACACACGUGCGCACAAACACACAAACUUCCUACUCAAGUCAAGAAAGCCUGAUUUGGAAUCCUUUUUCACAACCUUCUUAUCCAAAUGAGAGAGACACUGUUUUUGCUAAUUCGAAUUGAAUGGUGAUAUAAAAUCGACCUAUUUCUUACAUUAUAUUGGUUGGGAUGCCAGUAACUCACGUGUGGUAUUUGAAAUGUCUUCCUAAUUAUAUCACGAAUCUUUUAUAUAAACCAAGUGAAUAAGCCAAUUAAGAAUCUCAAUUAUCUAAAUGAAAUACCCUCUGAUUACUCUAAAAUCGCUAAAGUGAACGGAGCGACGGAAUUGGAACUUUUUGCACGGAUACGACUUCUAGAAAACCGUUUGAUUGAAGGCUUGCUGUCACAAUUCAAUUUAGGUGAGUACGAAGCAACUAUUUGUAUUUGAAGACUCUUCUUUUGUUCGCCUACAUUCUUCUUCCCCACUGCGACUGAAUCUGCUGGUGAGCCUCUAAGAAACCCUCUUCCUAGAAAGAGAACUUUAUCACCACCUCCACCAAAGGCCUCAUAGAUAAAAUCUUUAAAGGUCAAAUGAAAAUAUAGUGGUACAUGAUUAUAUAGAAUAGAAAGUGCUUUUGUUAAUUUGAUUUUCUCAUCAUCUUUCCCUUUCCGAUGGCAUCGUUUUGGACAUUGGUAUUCGGGUUAGGAUAAUAUGCUUGAUAGCAUCACUUUGGACUGUGAUGUUCAAAUUAGGAUAAUAUGCUUGCGUUGGAUCAAAGAUUAUAGAAAUCCCCACAGGACGGAUCCCUAGGAAAUUUUUCUUAUUUAAGAAGGGUAUAUAGAUAAGUUUAUACUUAAUUUUUUAUUCAGUAAAAGGACGAAUACAAUUUAAUACUCAAAUAUUUUUAUUUGAGGAGAUGAUGAGAAUUUAGUGAAAUUUUCAUCUCCUUUCCAUCUAUCUAUUUUUUUUUUAUAUUUUUGUUUCAUUUCUUUUAAAAAUUUUAGUAAAUACAUUUAAAAUUUAAGGCAUAACAGUAUAGAUGUAAAUAACAAAUAUUAAAUAACAACUUAUAUAGUAUUUACAAAAAUAAUAUAAAUAAUAAUUGAAGACUGACGAAGUAAUUUUGCUGGUGAGUUAUACCAUGUGACUUUUUAUGAAUUUGCUCAACUUUGAAGCUAUAAUUGAUUAAUUUCAUAGAUUUUUUUUUAUAAUUUUGAUGACAUUGACUUAGUUUGAUGGAAAUGAUUUUGGUUACUUUAUUUUAUUUUGAUGUUUAUGUUUUGAUAAUGCGAUAUUAUACUUUUAUUUGAAUAUGAUUAAAUCAAGCUUAUAAAUUAAAAGUAUCAAUUCUUCGAAUAUCGGAACCCUCGGGAUUUCCUUUUAUUAUUUGGAAAUCCUCAUCCCUUCCCUUCAAGCAAUUUUAAAGUGGAUAUGAAGAAUACGAGGAUAUAUGCAGAGUAUUGAGGAUGGUACGAAGAUGUUGAUUCUCUCCCCUUCUUUUCACAUUGCCAUCUCUAUUUCAGAUGUAGUUAUGUUGACUCUGAUGCAUGGAUAUUCUACUGGCCCAAUAGUGGCAAUCUUCUUUUAGGCUUUUCCAGAAAUUAUUUGGAUGAUAUUACUUUUGAUGAAGCAGUGACCUUGCACUCUGGCUUAGGACUUGUUAGUAAAAUUGAUUUAUCUCCAUUUUCAAGUUGAAUUCAUUAUUUUUUAUACACGUGCUUGAACAUAUAGAUAACCUAUCGUCAACGAAUUUUAACUAUCUAUAUUGUAUGCAUUUUUUUAUGUCUAGUAUGAUCAUGCAUGCCCACUUAUAUACAAUUUUUUCUUUUUUCUAGAUUAAGACUUUAUUUGGUAUUUCUAUAUAUAUUCAGGACCCGAUUAAAUUCCUGUUAGGGUUCAUGCCCUAACAAACCCAAUCUAACCCGACCCAAAAUUAAAAAAAUGAUUUUAUUUGUAUGACUUUAUAAGAUAUGAUUUUAAUUAUUUUUUAUUAUUUAUAUAAUUAUAUUGUUGAGACAUUGAGUACAUUUUAACAUAUAUGGGAGGUUAUGUUUUUUUUUUCAAAUUUUAAAUUACUUAAAUAUAAAAAAAUAUAUCUUAAAAAUAAUUAUAGACUUCAUGCUUGGACAAAAGUCCGACCCAACCCAGACCCGAAUUGAGUCGGGCCCAAAAUUCAAAGACUAGGGUUUUUCUCCAAACCCAACAGGACUUAGCACUGUAAACUUUUUCACAAGAGAAUAAUAAUAAUAAUAAUAUCAGUUGGAGUCUCAAUUUAAGGUUCAAUUUGGGCUACCCUACCUUGGACUUUUGGCACCCCUCUCAAAUUCUCUUGAAACUUUUUUUUUUAAAUUAUACUCCAUUUAAUAUAAAAAAAUGUCCUUUUCUUUUAAUAAAUAAACAUUCCUUUCAUUUAUAAAUAUUUCAAUUUCUAAUAAUUUUUGCAUUUUUAAAAUUUCUUUGACAAUAAUUGAUAUCUUUAUUUUCUUGAAACUCUCUCUCUAACAAACUCACUAGCCUCUCAAGAACAAAUAAAAUAGCUAUAAAGGAAAAAAAAAAUUGCUCAUCAUUAUUUUUAUAGGGUCAUUCACCACCUCCAUAGGCACCAUAAGCAUUCUUUGGGAUAAUGAAGAACAAUUUUAGAUCAGAAUAAAUUAAUAGAUUUAGUUUAAUAAGUAUAAAUUAGUGUUGCCAUUGACAAAGAGACAACUUAUGAGUCCUCAUCAAACUCGUGAGAAGACAUGUCACUGCAAAUGGGAUCUUCAAAUGUCAUUUGCGGCUCUGCACUUCAUGUGGGUAUAUAAGUGUACUUUUACUCGGGGGUAAAAUUGUAAAUAAUAGGAUAUUAGAGGCAUGCCAAGAACGCCACUCGUGUAAAUUUUUGACCCAUUUGGGCUUUUACAACAAUGUUUCGCACUGAAGUAGCAAGUUCAAAUUCCAAUAGGGCCAGAUAUACACAGCCAAUUAGCCCGCAACACCCCGAACAAAAUAUUUUAACACAAUGCAUUUUUUUUUUUACUAAUGUUAGCGGAUAUUAUAUCAUAUAUUAUAAUUAAUAUUUAGAAAUAAAUUCUUAUCAUGUACUUAUAAUUGGAAUCUCCUCUUGGCAUGUACUUAUUUGAAAUUGUUCAGAUUCUUUAAAUUUUUUUCUAAUAUUUGAGGGGUGUUUACUCUACUUAUAUUUUGUGAGGAAGAGUCUGUCUCCAUUUAAUGAGAUUGUCUGAAUUCAAUUAUUAGAUAAUUGAAGGAGAAUUGAAACUAAGAGUAUCUCCAAAAAACUAUUUAAAUUAAAUUUUACUUCUUAUUUAAGAGACAUAUUAAUAUUAAAUACUCUAAAAGACACGUUAAUUUAGAUUAUUCAAAUAAGAUUUAUUUCUCACUCUUCAAUAUUACCGAGUGAAUUUCUCCCUCUUCUAUUAAUAUUUUAUUAUUAUUUAUUGAAAAGAUAAGACUGUAAUAAUUAUUAUUUAUGUUUUCUUUAAAAAACAUAACAGUAAUUCAAUUUGAUAGUGAAAAAAAUUUAAUUAAAAUAAUAUUAACUUAUUUUUAUUUGAUAAAUCUUUUAAAAAAAAUUAUAUUUUUUAAUAUACUUAUUUAUCACAUUAAUAAGUAAAUUAAAAUUUAAAGAGUAAAAUUUAAAGAGCUUUUUAGAAAUACUUUAACUCUAUAAUACUUUUACCCCAUAAUACUUUUAUAAAAAUUCAAAUUCUUACUCUUAAUAUUAUAAUCUUACUCUCAACAUUGUAAUUACAACGACUCUUCCACUGGCAAAAGACCCAUUGGUUACCCAUUGGUUAACACAACGUAUUUAAUUCUUCACAACCGAGUCAAUUAUUUAUUUUGGUUUGUAUUGCUUUGCUUUGCUUUGCAUUGCAAUUUUUCACUUUUUUUUCCUCCAAAAUAUUAUUUUCUUAUCCUUCUUGGGAGAAGAUAUCAAGGUACCCAGCUCAAGAUUUAAGACAGAAAUGAUAAAAAUACAACUCAAAAGGUAAUUUGAAGCACUUCAAAUUUAAAAUAGAAAUGGGCGAUGAGCUUAUUAUAAACACCGGCCCAAUAAAUAUUUUUGGGGACAACUUUCAAUCACUAGUGGUUUUAAUAAGUAUCAAAAGCCAUUACCUAAGCUUACUACAUAUGUACACCAAAUAAUGGCUUCUUUUUUUUUUUUUUUUUUUUAAUUUUCCCUCACUCCUCCACAUCUUUUAUGUACACCAACAAAGACGUGGGCACAUGACCAUUCUCUCAUUAUUACUUUGAGUUUUUUUUUUUUAAUUAAUUACAAAGUUUUAGAUGUAAGGAUUAACGUGCGAUGAGUAAUCCCUAAUUCCAGCACCUUCCCAUCCCAUCCACUCCUCCCA
rnacentral:lncRNA from 1 species